GCAAGUCGAGCGCCUUACUUCGGUAAGGAGCGGCGAACGGGUGAGUAACACGUAGGUUAUCUGCCCCCGGGUGAGGGACAACCAAGGGAAACUUUGGCUAAUACCACAUAUGGUCUACGGAUCAAAGGCUUCGGCCGCCUGGGGAUGAGCCUGCGUCCCAUUAUUUAAUCCUUGUUGGUGGGGUAAAAGCCUACCAAGGGUACGAUGGGUAGCUGGUCUGAGAGGAUGAUC
rnacentral:rRNA from 1 species